rnacentral:rRNA from 1 species
ACGCUGGCGGCGUGCCUAAUACAUGCAAGUAGAACGCUGAAGGAGGAGCUUGCUUCUCUGGAUGAGUUGCGAACGGGUGAGUAACGCGUAGGUAACCUGCCUGGUAGCGGGGGAUAACUAUUGGAAACGAUAGCUAAUACCGCAUAAAAGUAGAUGUUGCAUGACAUUUACUUAAAAGGUGCAAUUGCAUCACUACCAGAUGGACCUGCGUUGUAUUAGCUAGUUGGGGGGGUAACGGCUCACCAAGGCGACAAUACAUAGCCGACCUGAGAGGGUGAUCGGCCACACUGGGACUGAAACACGGCCCAAACUCCUACGGGAGGCAGCAGUAGGGAAUCUUCGGCAAUGGACGGAAGUCUGACCGAGCAACGCCGCGUGGGUGAAGAAGGUUUUCGGAUCGUAAAGCUCUGUUGUAAGAGAAAAACGAGUGUGAGAGUGGAAAGUUCACACUGUGACGGUAUCUUACCAGAAAGGGACGGCUAACUACGUGCCAGCAGCCGCGGUAAUACGUAGGUCCCGAGCGUUGUCCGGAUUUAUUGGGCGUAAAGCGAGUGCAGGCGGUUAGAUAAGUCUGAAGUUAAAGGCUGUGGCUUAACCAUAGUACGCUUUGGAAACUGUUUAACUUGAGUGCAAGAGGGGAGAGUGGAAUUCCAUGUGUAGCGGUGAAAUGCGUAGAUAUAUGGAGGAACACCGGUGGCGAAAGCGGCUCUCUGGCUUGUAACUGACGCUGAGGCUCGAAAGCGUGGGGAGCAAACAGGAUUAGAUACCCUGGUAGUCCACGCCGUAAACGAUGAGUGCUAGGUGUUAGACCCUUUCCGGGGUUUAGUGCCGCAGCUAACGCAUUAAGCACUCCGCCUGGGGAGUACGACCGCAAGGUUGAAACUCAAAGGAAUUGACGGGGGCCCGCAC